rnacentral:rRNA from 1 species
UACAGAGGGUGCGAGCGUUAAUCGGAAUUACUGGGCGUAAAGCGCACGUAGGCGGAUUGUUAAGUCAGGGGUGAAAUCCUGGAGCUCAACUCCAGAACUGCCUUUGAUACUGGCGAUCUCGAGUCCGGGAGAGGUGAGUGGAACUGCGAGUGUAGAGGUGAAAUUCGUAGAUAUUCGCAAGAACACCAGUGGCGAAGGCGGCUCACUGGCCCGGUACUGACGCUGAGGUGCGAAAGCGUGGGGAGCAAACAGG